GAACAUUUGUUAGAGCGUGAGAAGAGAGAGGUCACAACUGCCAGCACUGUUGGUUUUUAGUAUUCACAGGUUUUACACUAUUUGACGGAAUGGUCUGAUUAAUAAUUGAUGCCUGCCGCUAUGUGGCCAACAAAGUUGGUCGUGUGGUCAACAGGUCUUCAGGUUUGGGGGAGAUGACAAAAUCUAAACCACCAGUACAGGAUUUCAGGGAGCGGAAAGUAGAACAUGAUACCGUUACAGGAGAAAAGCCGAGUCCAGGUCCAGACGUAGUCAAGUACUGUGACAACGGCAGACAGUUCAAUGGUUCCAUUGCUCAAGACACGGGAAAUCUAUCACACUCACAGUAGUUCUAAAUCUACUCAACGGAAACAAAAUCGACCGUGGAAUAACAUCAUGCAUUGAAAAAUGAUGUAGCAAUAUCAAGUGAAGUUAGUGUCAAAUUAUAGGUUUGAUGCAGAGUUUGAUUAAGAACCUGAAAGUCUGUAUUAUCUUCAGUCAGCAAACUUCAAGAUCGUCAUUUAAAUACCACAAACAUCAUAGAUUAAUAUGUUUUGUUCUAUGAUUCAAUUCAAUACUAGAAAAAAAUUAAGGUGCAAAUAAAUGUGUUGAGCAAAGAGUGAAAUCAAUAAUGAAGAUGGCGAGAGUUUAAAUGCAUUUACUCUUACUUGUAGUAUAUACAUAUAUUCCUUAUUGCUGACGACAUUAUGACGUAACUGUUGAUAAAGGUGUUGCUAUGACACUGGAACAGCUGCUGAAGCUUGUCUGUCACGUGAUUAUGGAAGUUUAUGUUUUAUUUAUAAAUGUUAUUUAUUAUUAAACAAUUUCUACCCCAUGA